rnacentral:misc_RNA from 1 species
UUUCCGUAGGUGAACCUGCGGAAGGAUCAUUAUUGAAUAAACCUGAUGUGGUUGAAGCUGGCUCUCUCGGGAGCAUGUGCACGCCCGUCGUCUUUAUAUCUCCACCUGUGCACUUUUUGUAGACCUUGAUAUAACACUUUCCGAGGAAACUCGGUCGGGAAGAAUGCCGUGCGUCAAUGCCGCCUUUCCUUGAAUGUCCUGGUCUAUGUUUUCACAAUACCCAAAAGAAUGUAACAGAAUGUAUCCUUGGGCCUUUCGCCUAUAAACUAAAUACAACUUUCAGCAACGGAUCUCUUGGCUCUC